rnacentral:rRNA from 1 species
CAUGCAAGUCGAACGGAAAGGGCUCUUCGGGGUGACUCGAGUGGCGAACGGGUGAGUAACACGUGGGUGAUCUGCCCUGCACUUUGGGAUAAGCCUGGGAAACUGGGUCUAAUACCGGAUAGGACCAUGGCCUUCAUGGUUUGUGGUGGAAAGCUUUUGCGGUGUGGGAUGGGCCCGCGGCCUAUCAGCUUGUUGGUGGGGUAAUGGCCUACCAAGGCGACGACGGGUAACCGGCCUGAGAGGGUGUCCGGCCACACUGGGACUGAGAUACGGCCCAGACUCCUACGGGAGGCAGCAGUGGGGAAUAUUGCACAAUGGGCGCAAGCCUGAUGCAGCGACGCCGCGUGAGGGAUGACGGCCUUCGGGUUGUAAACCUCUUUCAGUAGGGACGAAGCGUAAGUGACGGUACCUGUAGAAGAAGCACCGGCCAACUACGUGCCAGCAGCCGCGGUAAUACGUAGGGUGCGAGCGUUGUCCGGAAUUACUGGGCGUAAAGAGCUCGUAGGUGGUUUGUCGCGUUGUUCGUGAAAACUCAACA